rnacentral:rRNA from 1 species
UACGUAGGUGGCAAGCGUUGUCCGGAUUUACUGGGCGUAAAGAGCGCGCAGGCGGUCGUGCAAGUCGCGUGUGAAAGCCCCCGGCUCAACUGGGGAGGGUCACGCGAUACUGUUCGACUCGAAGGCAGGAGAGGGAAGCGGAAUUCCCGGUGUAGUGGUGAAAUGCGUAGAUAUCUGGAGGAACACCGGUGGCGAAGGCGGCAUCCUGGACCGGCAUUGACGCUGAGGCGCGAAAGCUAGGGGAGCAAACGGG